rnacentral:rRNA from 1 species
GAUGAACGCUAGCUACAGGCUUAACACAUGCAAGUCGAGGGACCGGCGCACGGGUGAGUAACACGUAUACAACCUGCCCUUUACUCGGGGAUAGCCUUUCGAAAGAAAGAUAAAUACCCGAUAUAAAGGAUGGGGAUGCGUUCCAUUAGGUUGUUGGGGAGGUAUCGACUAACCAACACUUCGCUGGAUAGGGGUUCUGAGAGGAAGGUCCCCCACAUUGGAACUGAGACACGGACAAAACUCGUACGGGAGGCAGCAGUGAGGAAUAUUGGUCAAUGGGCGGUAGCCUGAACCAGCCAAGUAGCGUGAAGGAUGAAGGCUUAUGGGUCGUAAACUUCUUUUAUAUAAGAAUAUGUAUUAUAUGAAUAAGGAUCGGCUAACGCCGUGCCAGCAGCCGCGGUAAUUC